rnacentral:lncRNA from 1 species
UCUCGUGCUCUUCUGCGACACGCCGGUCGUCCCAGCAUCUGACACAAGGUGUGGUCACGAGCUGGGCUGCUGUUACUUAGCCGUCGUCCGUUCCGAACAUGGUGUCAGAAGCUGGCUAACACCGUCACUAUGGCGGAAGGUGACCUCUGUAUCCAAGUGGUUUGCGUCGGAGUGUCGGGACUUCAUCCUUUAGCACUAUUCACUUUCACCAGCCCGGCGGAAUGGCCGACUUGGAUUGCAACGAGGACAGUCAGAACGACUUCAGCCAUCACUGCCAAGCCAUCAGAACUUCAAGGCAAGAGAUGCCGCAAACACGUCGCAACAGGCAAACAACCACAAUCGCCGGCAUACUUCAAGUCCUCCGACCCCCUUGAAGUUGGGGGAGGACAUGUGGGUUAAGGACGUCAAUUGCCGAGGCAGUAUCCUCAGCCCCGCUCAGUGACCACAGUCAUAUGUGGUGGAAACGCCCAGAGGAACUCUGCAGUGAAACUGUCGGCAUCUAAUCCCCUUCUCAAAAGGCCAGUCAACAGAGGAACUGCCAGCCAGUGAACAAAAU